AUGGUCAACAUGAGGAGGUAGAUCAUAUUGAGUUUGUUUUUAAGGAGUAUCCUAUCCAAGAAGGUGAAUAAGAGGAAGAAAAGGAAGAAGUAAAAGAAGAAAAGAAAGAGGAGAAAUCGAAACAAAAAUCUGAAGGGUACCAAACAUCUGAAGAGGAAGAUGAGUAGUCAACCUCAAGAAGGAAUCGACUUCAAAGAUAAAGAAGUCAACUCUGAUACGCUGG
rnacentral:lncRNA from 1 species